rnacentral:lncRNA from 1 species
AGGAUUUUUUUUAAAUAAAGGAUAAAGUGUAUCAAGUUAGCCCAUGUGGUUUCACAUUUUCUCACUUUAGUAUCUUGUAAUUUAAAGCGUAUCAAGUAAGUACCCUGUGGUUUCAUUUUUCUCUUUUUAUUAUCUAUUUUACUAAUUUUUUCGUUAAAUCAGUGACGAAGUUAAAACUAAAGGGUACUAAAGUAAUUAUUCGAUAAACCUAGAUAGGAUAUAUGAAGUUUUUUGUAUAUAAUUUAACAAAAUAUUAACGGAGGAAAAAAAAAUCAGUGACAAAGUUAAAAGUAAAAAAUACUAAAGUAAAUAUUCGAUAAACCCAGGUAGGGUAUCUAAAGUUUAUGCAAUAAUUUAACGAAAUAUCAACAGAGAAGCGGACGGAAAAAAGAAAAUGAAACCACAUGGAGGGUAUUAAAUUGAUGCACUUUAAAUCACAAGGUACUAAAAUGAGAAAGUGUGAAAUCACAAGGUACUAAAUUAAUACACUUUAAAUCACAAGGUACUAAAAGGACAAAAUGCGAAACCAUAUAGGUGG